AUUCAGUAGAUACUGACAAACAAUUUUCUUCCAGUUGACCAGUUGAACUUAAAGUUCUCGACAGAAGGACAAAAGUCAUGGGUGUAAAAGUACACAUUGAAUAUUGCGGUGGGUGAGGUUAUGGACCUCGGUACCAGGAGCUUCGCAGGGCUGUCCUUGCUGAGGUUCCUUCUGCUGAGGUCACAGGACAAGUUGGAAGGUCAUCAUCAUUUGAAGUAACAGUGAAUGAUAAGUUGAUCUUCUCUAAACUGAAACUGGGCGGAUUCCCUGCAGCUGAAGAUGUUAUUGCAAGUAUCAGAGAAGCAGAGAAGGGUCUAGAAGCAAAAGAAAUAACAACAGCUCAAAGCCCAGGAUGUAGCAUAUUGUAAAACAGGAAGUGCAAAGAAUUAUGGGAAAACACAGGAAGAUCAAAUUUACAGUGAUUGAUUGAACAUUUUGUUGUCAUAUAAGAUUGGAACAAUAUAACUUGUUUGUUAUAUACUCAUUUAAAUUCAUCCUCUUCGUAUGAAAAUAAAAACUUAAAAUUUGUGUUUUUAUUGGAUGGUAAAAAGAGGUUGAUUUAAUGCGAGUUUAUUUCAAACACAAAUGAUUGUUCUUGAUCAAAUAGCACAUACUAGUAUGAAAAUUAAUUUAUUUAUUGGUAUAUUUUAUAAUCAUUUAUUUUUCGUUUUGUGAUAGAUUGUUGUGAAUAUAUUAAUUAACACAUUAACUUUAUUUCAUUAAUUUGGUAUCUACAUGGUGACAGAAUUUUUUGUUUUUUAUUAUAUCUAGAUCAUAGUCAUGAUAGUACACUAUCUUAUAUUAGUUUUUUUCAUUUAAAUUUUUUGACAAUUAUCUACAAAAAAACUCAGGAAAGUUUACAAGUUUGCCUAGAAGCAAUUUUAAGAAUUCCCCAUUUUUUAAAAAAACAUUUUGAUCUGUUAUUUAGGCUUAUAUAUUACAUGUUAAGGUUGAGGGUUAUCUUAUAAGAAUUUGCAUGAAGGAAUUCAAAGAUGUUUGUUUAUAAAAGGUUCACUAUUUGGCUCAACUGCUUGGAAUUUUCAGUUUAAAUGCAAAAUUUGAUGAAUGAAGUAUAGAUGAAUGAAGUAUAUAUCUGUUAUUUAUUAAUAAAACUUCUAUAAAUGUAAAUUGUUUUUUAUAUACACUGCAGUGAAUUUCCAUAGACAUAGAUGUGUAAUUUAUAAGAAAUCAUCAUUAACACUGUCUGUUACAAGUACUUAUUAUUUUAAGUUAUCUGGUUAGGCCAAGAAAAAUAUUCUUGUUUAUUAAAUACCAUUUUCAGUA